rnacentral:rRNA from 2 species
GCUAUCUGCAGUCGACGAACUCUGGUUUGAUUGGUGCUUGCAUCAUGAUUUACAUUUGACUGUGUGGCGAACUGGUGAGUAACACGUGGGAAACCUGCCCAGAAGCGGGGGAUAACACCUGGAAACAGAUGCUAAUACCGCAUAACAACUUGGACCGCAUGGUCCGAGUUUGAAAGAUGGCUUCGGCUAUCACUUUUGGAUGGUCCCGCGGCGUAUUAGCUAGAUGGUGGGGUAACGGCUCACCAUGGCAAUGAUACGUAGCCGACCUGAGAGGGUAAUCGGCCACAUUGGGACUGAGACACGGCCCAAACUCCUACGGGAGGCAGCAGUAGGGAAUCUUCCACAAUGGACGAAAGUCUGAUGGAGCAACGCCGCGUGAGUGAAGAAGGGUUUCGGCUCGUAAAACUCUGUUGUUAAAGAAGAACAUAUCUGAGAGUAACUGUUCAGGUAUUGACGGUAUUUAACCAGAAAGCCACGGCUAACUACGUGCCAGCAGCCGCGGUAAUACGUAGGUGGCAAGCGUUGUCCGGAUUUAUUGGGCGUAAAGCGAGCGCAGGCGGUUUUUUAAGUCUGAUGUGAAAGCCUUCGGCUCAACCGAAGAAGUGCAUCGGAAACUGGGAAACUUUGAGUGCAGAAAGAAGACAGUGAAACUCCAUGUGUAGCGGUGAAAUUGCGUAGAAUAUAUUGGAAAGAACACCAGUGGCGAAGGGCGGCUGUCUGGUCUGGAAACUGACGCUGAGGCUCGAAAGUAUGGGUAGCAAACAGGAUUAGAUACCCUGGUAGUCCAUACCGUAAACGAUGAAUGCUAAGUGUUGGAGGGUUUCCGCCCUUCAGUGCUGCAGCUAACGCAUUAAGCAUUCCGCCUGGGGAGUACGGCCGCAAGGCUGAAACUCAAAGGAAUUGACGGGGGCCCGCACAAGCGGUGGAGCAUGUGGUUUAAUUCGAAGCUACGCGAAGAACCUUACCAGGUCUUGACAUACUAUGCAAAUCUAAGAGAUUAGACGUUCCCUUCGGGGACAUGGAUACAGGUGGUGCAUGGUUGUCGUCAGCUCGUGUCGUGAGAUGUUGGGUUAAGUCCCGCAACGAGCGCAACCCUUAUUAUCAGUUGCCAGCAUUAAGUUGGGCACUCUGGUGAGACUGCCGGUGACAAACCGGAGGAAGGUGGGGAUGACGUCAAAUCAUCAUGCCCCUUAUGACCUGGGCUACACACGUGCUACAAUGGAUGGUACAACGAGUUGCGAACUCGCGAGAGUAAGCUAAUCUCUUAAAGCCAUUCUCAGUUCGGAUUGUAGGCUGCAACUCGCCUACAUGAAGUCGGAAUCGCUAGUAAUCGCGGAUCAGCAUGCCGCGGUGAAUACGUUCCCGGGCCUUGUACACACCGCCCGUCACACCAUGAGAGUUUGUAACACCCAAAGUCGGUGGGGUAACCUUUUAGGAACCAGCCGCCUAAGGUGGGACAGAUGAUUAGGGUGAAGUCGAA